AACGCGAAGAACCUUACCUGGGCUCGAACGACUGGUAGUACCUUAUUUGAAAGGAUGAGGGACCCGCAAGGGAGCCAGCCGAGGUGCUGCAUGGCUGUCGUCAGCUCGUGUCGUGAGAUGUUGGGUUAAGUCCCGCAACGAGCGCAACCCUUGUCCUGUGUUGCUACUCCGCAAGGAGAGGACUCUCAGGAGACUGCCGCGGAUAACGUGGAGGAAGGUGGGGAUGACGUCAAGUCAGCAUGGCCUUUAUGUCCAGGGCUACACACGUGCUACAAUGGCGUAUACAACGGGAUGCAAUACCGCAAGGUGGAGCCAAUCCUUAAAAUACGCCCCAGUUCGGAUUGAGGGCUGCAAUUCGCCCUCAUGAAGGUGGAAUCGCUAGUAAUCGCGGAUCAGCACGGCCGCGGUGAAUACGUUCCCGGGCCUUGUA
rnacentral:rRNA from 1 species